rnacentral:rRNA from 1 species
AUUUAUUGGGCGNAAAGCGAGCGCAGGCGGUUAGAUAAGUCUGAAGUUAAAGGCUGUGGCUUAACCAUAGUACGCUUUGGAAACUGUUUAACUUGAGUGCAGAAGGGGAGAGUGGAAUUCCAUGUGUAGCGGUGAAAUGCGUAGAUAUAUGGAGGNACACCGGUGGCGAAAGCGGCUCUCUGGUCUGUAACUGACGCUGAGGCUCGAAAGCGUGGGGAGCAAACAGGAUUAGAUACUCUGGUAGUNCACGCCGUAAACGAUGAGUGCUAGGUGUUGGGUCCUUUCCGGGACUCAGUGCCGCAGCUAACGCAUUAAGCACUCCGCCUGGGGAGUACGACCGCAAGGUUGAAACUCAAAGGAAUUGACGGGGGCCCGCACAAGCGGUGGAGCAUGUGGUUUAAUUCGAAGCAACGCGAAGAACCUUACCAGGUCUUGACAUCCCUCUGACCGCUCUAGAGAUAGAGUUUUCCUUCGGGACAGAGGUGACAGGUGGUGCAUGGUUGUCGUCAGCUCGUGUCGUGAGAUGUUGGGUUAAGUCCCGCAUCGAGCGCAACCCCUAUUGUUAGUUGCCAUCAUUGAGUUGGGCACUCUAGCGAGACUGCCGGUAAUAAACCGGAGGAAGGUGGGGAUGACGUCAAAUCAUCAUGCCCCUUAUGACCUGGGCUACACACGUGCUACAAUGGCUGGUACAACGAGUCGCGAGUCGGUGACGGCAAGCUAAUCUCUUAAAGCCAGUCUCAGUUCGGAUUGUAGGCUGCAACUCGCCUACAUGAAGUCGGAAUCGCUAGUAAUCGCGGAUCAGCACGCCGCGGUGAAUACGUUCCCGGGCCUUGUACACACCGCCCGUCACACCACGAGAGUUUGUAACACCCGAAGUCGG